GACUACAUGAUCUAAUGGUAUGAUAAUACUACUUCACAGUAUAUAUGCGAGUUCGAUUCUCGCUGUGGUUA
rnacentral:tRNA from 2 species